rnacentral:rRNA from 1 species
ACGCACGCUGGCGGCAUGCCUAACCCAUGCAAGUCGCACGAGACCUUCGGGUCUAGUGGCGCACGGGUGCGUAACGCGUGGGAACCUGCCCUUAGGUUCGGAAUAGCUCCCCGAAAGGGGUGCUAAUACCGGAUAAUGUCUUCGGACCAAAGAUUUAUCGCCUUUGGAUGGGCCCGCGUUGGAUUAGCUAGUUGGUAGGGUAAAAGCCUACCAAGGCGACGAUCCAUAGCUGGUCUGAGAGGAUGAUCAGCCACACUGGGACUGAGACACGGCCCAGACUCCUACGGGAGGCAGCAGUGGGGAAUAUUGGACAAUGGGCGAAAGCCUGAUCCAGCAAUGCCGCGUGAGUGAUGAAGGCCUUAGGGUUGUAAAGCUCUUUUACCCGGGAUGAUAAUGACAGUACCGGGAGAAUAAGCUCCGGCUAACUCCGUG